rnacentral:rRNA from 1 species
CUUGACGAGCGGCGGACGGGUGAGUAAUUGUAGGGGAUCUGCCUGAUGGAGGGGGAUAACUACUGGAAACGGUAGCUAAUACCGCAUAAUGUCUUCGGACCAAAGCGGGGGACCUUCGGGCCUCGCGCCAUCAGAUGAACCCAUAUGGGAUUAGCUUGUAGUGAGUAACGGCUCACCUAGCGACGAUCCCUACUGGUCUGAGAGGAUGAUCAGCCACACUGGGACUGAGACACGGCCCAGACUCCUACGGGAGGCAGCAGUGGGGAAUAUUGCACAAUGGGCGCAAGCCUGAUGCAGCCAUGCCGCGUGUAUGAAGAAGGCCUUCGGGUUGUAAAGUACUUUCAGUCGGGAGGAAGGUGGUAAGGUUAAUAACCUUAUCAAUUUGACGUUACCGACAGAAGAAGCACCGGCAAACUCCGUGCCACAGCCGCGGUAAUACGGAGGGGUGCAAGCGUUUAAUCGGAAUUACUGGGCGUAAAAGGCGCACCGUAAGCGGUUCCGUUAAAGUCCGGAUNGUUGAAAUCCCCUGGGGGCUCAAACCUGGGGUUGCUGGCAUUCCGAAUACUGGGCGGGACUUUGGAAAUUACGGUAAAGGGGGGG